rnacentral:rRNA from 1 species
UUUGAAGUCUGACCUGCCCAAUGAUUUAAUUAAAUGGCCGCAGUAUUUUGACUGUGCAAAGGUAGCAUAAUCAUUAGUUUUCUAAUUAAAAGCUGGAAUGAAUGGUUUGAUGAGAGAAGAUCUGUCUCAAAAUUAUUGGCUUAGAACUUUAUUUUUAAGUUAAAAAGCUUAAAUGUUUUAAGAAGACGAGAAGACCCUAUAGAGUUUGAUAUUUACGUUAUAAAGUUUCAUUGUGGAUUUUUAAAGAUUUUUUUAAUUUGAAUGUUUCGUUGGGGUGACGUGAAAAUUGAGUUAACUUUUUAUAGUAAAAACAUUAAUUAAUGAAUUUUUGAUCCUUUUUAUGGAUUAUUAGAUAAAAUUACCUUAGGGAUAACAGCGUAAUUUUUUUUGAGAGUUCUUAUCGAAAAGAGAGAUUGCGACCUCGAUGUUGGAUUAAAAUUAAUUUUUGGUGCAGAAGCUAAAAAAUUGGGUCUGUUCGACCUUUGAAAUUUUACAUGAUCUGAGUUUAAACCGGCGUGAGCCAGGUUGGUUUCUAUCUUUUAAUUUAUAUAGUGUUUUAGUACGAAAGGACCAGACAUUAGAAUCAUAUUUUAAUUUUUUGAAUUAUAUUGUUAUUUUGGCAGAUUAGUGCAAUAAAUUUAGAAUUUAUAUAUGUAUGCUUAUACAGAUAACAUUGAUUUUCCGAGAUUUAUUUAUAGUUUUUGUUUCAAUAAUUGUUUUGGUUAUUUGUGUGUUGGUGGGGGUAGCUUUUUUA